AUGCGCGCCAGCGCGCGACGGCAGCGAUUUGAGGGAGGGAGGUUGGAUAGGUACUUUCUGAGGACAUGCCGUGGAUGGGCGGCUCGCCGCCGUGGCCUGCGUGGUGGAGGAGCUCUGGUUGUCCGCAGAAGGACUCGAGACUUAGAGAGUCGAGAGUCGAGAGUCGAGAGACCGCAGACAUGGCGUGGAAAGGAGAGUCUAGAGACGAUGGCGCAUGCAGGAGAGCCGAGGUCGUGUCUGUCCGGGAUGCAGAACUCCGGCCGCGACCCUUCGUGA
rnacentral:rRNA from 1 species